ACCGUAGGAGGCGAUCGUUAUCCGGAGUGACUGGGCGUAAAGCGCGUGUAGGCGGUCAGGUAAGCUGGGUGUGAAAGCGCCGGGCUCAACCUCGCGAGGCCAUGCAGGACUGCGUGGCUGGAGGCCGGUAGAGGAGUGCGGAAUUCCCGGUGUAGCGGUGAAAUGUGUAGAGAUCCGGAGGAACACCAGUGGUGCAGACGGCGCUCUGGGCCGGCCCUGACGCUGAGACGCGAAAGCGUGGGGAGCGAACGGG
rnacentral:rRNA from 1 species